CCUACGGGUGGCAGCAGUGGGGGAUAUUGCACAAUGGGGGAAACCCUGAUGCAGCGACGCCGCGUGGGUGAAGAAGUAUUUCGGUAUGUAAAGCCCUAUCAGCAGGGAAGAAAGAAGACGGUACCUGACUAAGAAGCGCCGGCUAACUACGUGCCAGCAGCCGCGGUAAGACGGAGGGGGGGAGCGUUAUCCGGAUUCACUGGGUGUAAAGGGAGCGUAGACGGCCGUGCAAGCCAGGAGUGAAAGCCCGGGGCCCAACCCCGGGACUGCACUUGGAACUGGGCGGCUGGAGUGCGGGAGGGGCAGGCGGAAUUCAUGGUGUAGCGGUGAAAUGCGUAGAUAUCAGGAGGAACACCGGCGGCGAAGGCGAGCUGCUGGACCGCGACUGACGUUGAGGCUCGAAAGCGUGGGGAGCGAACAGGAUUAGAUACCCUUGUAGUC
rnacentral:rRNA from 1 species